rnacentral:lncRNA from 1 species
GUCUCGUUCUGUCGCCCAGGCUGCAGUGCAGUGGUGUGAUCAUAGUUCACUGCAGCCUCGACCUCCUGGACUCAAGCGAUUCUCCCACCUCGACCUCUUGAGUAGCUGGGACUACAGAUGCACACCAGGAAGCCUGGGACAAUUCAAGGAGUGGAAAAUUGUGCUGGCCCUCCAGCCCACAUGGGCUGACUCACGCUCAGCUCUGGGCUGGGGGCCCUGUGAGCUCCCCACAGUUCUCCUGGGGCCAGAGGGGAGGCCAGGCCCUGGCAGCUGGAGCAGGAGAGGGUCUACGAGAUGGGAGAUUCUCACUGUGUUGCCCAGGGUGCCUUGAACUCCCGAGCUCAAGCCAUCCUCCGGACUAAGCCUCCCACAGUGCUGGGAUGACAGUCGCCUGCCGCCACGCCCAGCCUGAAUUGUUAAUUUUAUUGUUUAUGUGUAUUGUUAUUUAUGUAAAUAUAGAGCAUAUUCAUAUUUACAGAAUUUAAUUAAUGCAAACGUAAGUAGCAGCGUGCAUC